UGGCGAACGGGUGAGUAACACGUGGGCAAUCUGCCCUCGGGACCGGGAUAACAUUGCGAAAGCGGUGCUAAUACCGGAUAAGACCACGCGGUCCACGGACCACGGGGUAAAAGGUGGCCUCUCCAUGGAAGCUAUCACCUGAGGAUGGGCCCGCGGCCUAUUAGCUUGUUGGCGGGGUAACGGCCCACCAAGGCGACGAUGGGUAUCCGGCUUGAGAGGGUGAACGGACACACUGGCACUGAGACACGGGCCAGACUCCUACGGGAGGCAGCAGUGGGGAAUUUUGCGCAAUGGGGGAAACCCUGACGCAGCAACGCCGCGUGAGCGAUGAAGGCCUUCGGGUUGUAAAGCUCUUUUAGUGGGGAAGAAACAUCUUGGGGCUAAUAUCCCCGGGACUUGACGGUACCCACAGAAAAAGUUCCGGCUAACUACGUG
rnacentral:rRNA from 1 species